AUUCGCAUGGGCACCACGUGUCAGUGGGGGGAGCUGUGUGGCCCUGGCGGGUAUGGGCAGUAGGUGGAGCUGUGUGUCCCUGGGCAGCACUGGGGGUGGUGGGGGGAUUCUGUAUGUCGCUGGUGGGUGGGGAGAUCUGUGUGUCCCUGAGGGAACAUGGCGAGUGGGGUGACCUGUGUGUCCCUGGGGGGCACUGGGGGUGGUGGGGUAUUCUGUAUGUUGCUGGGGGGCCACAGGGGGUGAGGGGAUCUGUGUGUCCCUGGGGGGCACUUGGGUGGGGGGAUCCGCCUGUCCCUGGGAAGCCAAUGUCCGGGUGCCCAGGGAAUAUCCUGGUGCUGGCUCCUCUGGGGCUUGUGGAGCUCAGUGGCGAGAUCACUGGGGGAGGGGGUGAAGGCACUGGCUUUGAGGGGUUUGGGGGCCCACGGCAUGCAGACCGGGCAGGCACAAAAUCAGAGACUGUGCCCAGCCGCUUCCCUGCAGGUGCAAUCCGGAGCGUUCUCCACGGCAGAGUGAGGGCCCAGUGUACGGCCUCUCCAUCCCAGAUGCAACCCUCGGUCAGCUCCGCUGGAUGCAACCACAGCCUCCCGGCCUCCUUCCUGGACACUGGGCAGGGCUCAGCCCACAGGAGCAAACCCGCCCACCCAGGGAGCUGGGCAGGGGGCUUCCAAGGAAAAGCUGACCCAGUAGUGGGAACUUCAGAAACCCAGCCCCCGUGGUGCCUGGCCCCCACCCGGCCUGGAAGAGGAGUCCCUCAGGGCAGAGCUGUGUCCCCCAGGCUCAUCUGUGGAAGCCCCGCCCCCAGCACCCCAGAAUGUGGCCACAGACAAGGCCUUCACAGGGACACCCCAUGGGCUGGGGUCUUGAGGCAAGGGGAGAUGAGGCCUCUCGGGGCGAUGGCUGAGGACCCAGGGGGCCAGGACAGGGGCUGUAGGGGGAGCUAGCCCCACCCCAAUCUUCACCUUGAACUUCAUCCUCCAGGAGUGGGAGCCACCAAGUGCCCAGGUCGCCCGGCUGCCCCCAACGCCACCUUGUGGCUUGAACCAAACAGGGACCCAGCCAGGCUCCAUCCUAAAACCAAUGGUCAGCGCCUGUCUGAAGGCAGACCUGUGACCUGUGACCUGUGACCUCCAGCCUGCUCCCUGCCCAGAGCUCAGCCCUGGAGGCUGCAGGUGGAAGGAUGCCUCACAUACUCCCUUCCCCAGGGAAGACCCCAUAAGGACAUGGGACCCAGGCUCAGCGGGGGCCGGGCCCUG
rnacentral:lncRNA from 1 species